ensembl:lncRNA
AUUUAUUAUAGCCAUGUUUGCGCAGUGGUGAACCUAUAGGCCUUCAGUGUGUGACAGGUUAGUACAGUGGUGAACCUAUAGGUCUUCAGUGUGUGACAGGUUAGUACAGUGGUGAACCUAUAGGUCUUCAGUGUGUGACAGGUUAGUACAGUGGUGAACCUAUAGGUCUUCAGUGUGUGACAGGUUAGUACAGUGGUGAACCUAUAGGUCUUCAGUGUGUGACAGGUUAGUACAGUGGUGAACCUAUAGGCCUUCAGUGUGUGACAGUGGUGAACCUAUAGGUCUUCAGUGUGUGACAGUGGUGAACCUAUAGGCCUUCAGUGUGUGACAGUGGU